UACGAAGGGGGCUAGCGUUGCUCGGAAUCACUGGGCGUAAAGGGUGCGUAGGCGGGUCUUUAAGUCAGGGGUGAAAUCCUGGAGCUCAACUCCAGAACUGCCUUUGAUACUGAAGAUCUUGAGUUCGGGAGAGGUGAGUGGAACUGCGAGUGUAGAGGUGAAAUUCGUAGAUAUUCGCAAGAACACCAGUGGCGAAGGCGGACUCACUGGCCCGAGUACUGACGCUGAG
rnacentral:rRNA from 1 species